rnacentral:rRNA from 1 species
GAUGAACGCUGGCGGCGUGCCUAAUACAUGCAAGUCGAGCGAACGGACGAGAAGCUUGCUUCUCUGAUGUUAGCGGCGGACGGGUGAGUAACACGUGGAUAACCUACCUAUAAGACUGGGAUAACUUCGGGAAACCGGAGCUAAUACCGGAUAAUAUUUUGAACCGCAUGGUUCAAUAGUGAAAGACGGUCUUGCUGUCACUUAUAGAUGGAUCCGCGCUGCAUUAGCUAGUUGGUAAGGUAACGGCUUACCAAGGCAACGAUGCAUAGCCGACCUGAGAGGGUGAUCGGCCACACUGGAACUGAGACACGGUCCAGACUCCUACGGGAGGCAGCAGUAGGGAAUCUUCCGCAAUGGGCGAAAGCCUGACGGAGCAACGCCGCGUGAGUGAUGAAGGUCUUCGGAUCGUAAAACUCUGUUAUUAGGGAAGAACAUAUGUGUAAGUAACUGUGCACAUCUUGACGGUACCUAAUCAGAAAGCCCCGGCUAACUACGUG